rnacentral:rRNA from 1 species
GACGAACGCUGGCGGCGUGCUUAACACAUGCAAGUCGAACGGAAAGGCCCUGCUUUUGUGGGGUGCUCGAGUGGCGAACGGGUGAGUAACACGUGAGUAACCUGCCCUUGACUUUGGGAUAACUUCAGGAAACUGGGGCUAAUACCGGAUAGGAGCUCCUGCUGCAUGGUGGGGGUUGGAAAGUUUCGGCGGUUGGGGAUGGACUCGCGGCUUAUCAGCUUGUUGGUGGGGUAGUGGCUUACCAAGGCUUUGACGGGUAGCCGGCCUGAGAGGGUGACCGGCCACAUUGGGACUGAGGUACGGCCCAGACUCCUACGGGAGGCAGGAGUGGGGAAUAUUGCACAAUUGGCCGAAGCCUGAUGCAGCAACGCCGCGUGCGGGAUGACGGCCUUCGGGUUGUAAACCGCUUUCGCCUGUGACGAAGCGUGAGUGACGGUAAUGGGUAAAGAAGCACCGGCUAACUACGUG